CACUUCUCAAAAUUCUCACGCUCUCCUCUUUCUCUUCCAAAACGGUUUCUCCUCUUCUUUCAAAACCGACACAUUCUCUUCACUCACCAUUCUCUUCAAUGCACGGUUACAUUACAUUGACUGUUUGUCUUCCCAUUUUCAAAACGAUUCAAUCUAUCUUCAAUUACCAUUCUCUUCAUCUCCAUUCAACUUUCACAACCGCCCACAUCCACCUCUGCCUACUCCGCUCUAGAUCGAAACCAGCGUCGCCUGCAACUGCUGAUUUUGCCGUCGUAUCCCCAACACCGACGACUACACCACCGCCGCGCAUCUACGGUUGAAACAUGGUAUGUCGAUAUUGGCUUUUGGUUCCUGAUGGAAAUAGAUAGAAAGAUGUGAUAAAGGGCUUUUUCAGGGCUUAAUUAGAGGCUAAAAUCAGAAACAAAUGGAGGAUAGCAACAAACCGAAUUCCCAUCACAAGGGUCUCCGACCAAAAUCACCUAAGGGUCUUCGAACCGGUUAAAUCGGCACUGCUGAUAAAAAGAUAAGUGUAUUUACUUACAACUGGUACCAUUACAUCAAUUCUAUUAUGUAAUUGUUAAAACUGUUCUUUCAUAAACUUAAUGAAUCUCUGUCUUGAUGUAAAUUCAGUGGUAAAUCAAAGAAUGUUAAUCUGAUUGCCCCACUCCGAAGCCAACGUUCAAUUCAUCCAAUAGAAGAAUCAACAUAAUUCAGCAGUGAAGUCACAAUUGAUGUUGCAAUUGAAUACAAAUUUUGAUUUGGCAAUGUUUAAUGGAGAAAUCCUAUGUCAGAACAUGUAUUGCUCAAUCAGCGGGAACUGACGCUGGUGUUUCAGAGGAUGAUUCUUCUUUUGAUGACUUUUUUUAAUGUUGGCAAAUAGUUUAUGUUACUUCAGGCUCACAGUCUCCAACUUGAGGCCUUUUCAGUUUCCAAUAAGAGAUUAGAUCCCGGCUUGCCGAAACCUAAGCUCCAAUUUGUCAGCAGCUGUAGAAAUAAAUCAGAUGAAGAUAGACUACAAAUCUUAAAAGAGAAAUCAAUUGAGCUGAAUGUGAAUGAACAAGUGGAAUUCCACAAGAAUGUAACAUACAGGAAUGAGGAGUUCUUUUAUUCCUGACUGUCGUGUUAAUCUAUUUCUGAAUGUGAAAGCAGUUUAUUUUAUGAUCCCUUUGCCAAUAAAAUUUAUGAUUAUGCCAAUGGAAUUGCUGCUUUGAGGUCCUUAAAGCUAGAAACCAUGAUCCCAGCUCAGCUGUCAUUUAAAGAUUAUCCUGGGCGGAACUGAGUCAUACAACUGUUGUACCGAAUGAUCUCGGGGCUGAACAUAGUCAUACAAAUGUUGUACCGAAUGAUGCAGGGGCAAAACUGAAUCCUACAGCUGAUAUACCGAAUAUUGUAGGUGCUGGCUGAAAGCAUAUUAAGGGCGUGUGUGGAUCAACCGUAAGAUCGUAAACACCAUCGUGGAUUGAUGAAAUGAUGCAAGCUUGGCUUAGACUGCAUCUCUGCUGUUUUGAUGCUGCAUGUUUUGAUGCAAGCUUGGAAAAGGUUGUUGAUUUCGGUCUUUCGAGGUCAGGUCCAUGUUUCAUGGAAAUCAAACAACAAUGCCCACACAAAUCAGUACCUCUAAGCAAGUGCUAACAUGUUCUGGUGGCCAGUUUCGGUUAUAACGGUUCGAACUUUCUUGUGCGUGCAAAUCCGAGGAAGGUUCCAUGCAGUCGUCGCGAAAUAUAGCCCGGGAGGUAAAAUUCUACAGAUAUUAGAGGAUAGCAAAUCCGAGGAAGGUUCCAUGCAGUCGUCGCGAAAUAUAGCCCGGGAGGUAAAAUUCUACAGAUAUUAGAGGAUAACGAGGGAAAGGUUGUUAAAGAAGUGAGUUAAGUGGAGGAGAAGGAUGGUAAACUCUGGAUGGGGAGUGUUUUGAUGCCUGUCAUUGCAGUUUACCAUUUGACACGAAGCAUGUUGAAGAAAUUACAAGUUGGUUUUCCUCUAUUUGAUUAUGAUGUCAUGAAAAACAGACUACAAAAGUAGCACUAUCAUGAAAAAUAACAGCAAAAAAAGAUUGUAAACUUCGGUCUAUCAUUACUGGAAAACUCUUUUUAGAAUAGAUUAAUGAAAGAUAGAUAUAUAGACUCUCCUUAAAAAUAUAAGCUGGUGCGAUUUGUUGUUGUU